GACAGAGGUCCCAAGCGUUAGGCGGAAUCACUGGGCUUAAAGCGUGUGUAGGCGGACUUGUAAGUACCUUGUGAAAUCCCACGGCUCAACCGUGGAACUGCUGGGUAUACUGCGAGUCUUGAGCCACCUAGGGGCGAGCGGAACAAGUGGUGGAGCGGUGAAAUGCGCAGAUAUCAGGAGGAACACCAAUGGCGAAGGCGGCUCUCUGGGCCUUACCUGACGCUGAGGAGCGAAAGCGUGGGUAGCGAACAGG
rnacentral:rRNA from 1 species